UCGUAGAUAUAGAUAUCUUGAAAGCAGAGAUCAUGGUGGUUUUGAUUGAUGUGAUCUGAUAAUUAUGGAGAUUGAAUCCGACUAACUGUGAGAGUUCCGGUGAAGUGGAUUGUUCAUUUCACUCCAGAUGUCAUAUAUAUUGAUGUUUGCUGCCAAGCAAAGAGAAGAAAAUAGUUGAAGUUUCCAAAUUCCGGAGAAGCGAAUUAGGAGAGAUGAUUACUUCGCAUCGCGGAAGACAAAGCCCCACCCAAAUGGCCUGAGAGUAUUGAUUCCAAAGAAACAAAAUUAAUCGCGUAAAUAAAGCUAAUCGAGGAAUUGAAUCAAAGACAAACGACAAAGCACCGGAGGUGAUGUCGGAGAUACCAUGAAGAUCCGAGAAGCUUGGAUUGCUCUGAUUAAUUUGUUGAGAGCCAUAUUCAAAGAUAAUUCUUGAGAUCCCCCGAUUCGUGGCCAAUUCGAUCACUACCUUCCGCUACCAAGGGUGAAACCACAACAGAUACAACCUGAGAGGACCUGCAUGUCUUCAUAUUCGACAACUGAACAAUCUUAUUUUUACCCAGUUUAUAAAGUAUGUGAAACGCCAUUGUUAACUUGUAAAAAUGGAGACCAUAGCGCAGUAGAAAAUUCUUCUUCUUAAUUGAGAUGGUGUUUCGUUAUACAUGUAGUAAAAGCAGCGACAGACAACAGCCAUUGGAGAAGCGUUGAUAAAAGCCAUAAGGGAAAAUUUUUCGAAGGUAUGAUGAAUGAACCUUCGUAUUUAUAGAAGCGCUUGACGUAUGAAAAAGUAGGUAUAAUGUGGAAUUAUAAGUUUGGGGAAUAUUCUGCAAAAGCCGAUAAUUCUGCAAAAUGGAGUAGUAAAAAAUCUUGGGGAAUAUUUCGUAUAUAUUGUUUGUAUAUAUCUAAGUAAGGAAUGAAUUUUAGAAUACUUCGACUAAGGAAAAUAUAGUACGUGUAUAAAGAAGUAGUUUAGUAAGAUUUCCUUAUUUUGUUAGGAGAUUGAUAUCUCUUAAAUUAAUUGAUGAGAUUAAAUAGCAUAAUUUUCGCCAAAGUUUGCGUGAUAAAGAGUAAAUUUCGGGUAUUGCUAACAACCGACUGAUGUUGUAGCCCAUUCAAAUUGUUAUUACUCGAUAUCCAUUUAUUUAAAACCCACUAUUCAAAUUGUUCAUACCCGAUACCCAUUUACAACCCACUAAUGGUUUUUAAAUUAUCCGACUGAUGUUUCCGGUUAAUUGUUUAAUUUUGCCCCGACCCAAUUAAUGAUAAAGUCAUAUUUAAUCUUGUUCUAGUUGUUUUUAUGUUGUUGGCAUAGGGGUAUUUUCGUCCGAAAUACAAGUGGUACUUUUCUUUUACUAUAAUAGAGAUAUACCGUGUGUUUUUCUUUUUA